UGCCCUUGUGUUACCCAUUUAUUUACUUGUUAAUAAAUGAGGCGUCAAACAGGGCAAAUAUUAUAUUCUUGGGCUUAUGGUGUUUGGGUUGUGAAGCACCCACAUACAAAGUAGCCGCAAGAGUACAUUU